rnacentral:rRNA from 1 species
GCGCAGCCUGACGGAGCACGCCGCGUGAGUGAUGAAGGUUUUCGGAUCGUAAAGCUCUGUUGCCAAGGAAGAACGCCUCGGAGAGUAACUGCUCUGAGGGUGACGGUACUUGAGAAGAAAGCCCCGGCUAACUACGUGCCAGCAGCCGCGGUAAUACGUAGGGGGCAAGCGUUGUCCGGAAUUAUUGGGCGUAAAGCGCGCGCAGGCGGUCUUUUAAGUUUGGUGUUUAAGCCCGGGGCUCAACCCCGGUUCGCACUGAAAACUGGGAGACUUGAGUGCAGGAGAGGAAAGCGGAAUUCCACGUGUAGCGGUGAAAUGCGUAGAGAUGUGGAGGAACACCAGUGGCGAAGGCGGCUUUCUGGACUGUAACUGACGCUGAGGCGCGAAAGCGUGGGGAGCAAACAGGAUUAGAUACCCUGGUAGUCCACGCCGUAAACGAUGAGUGCUAGGUGUUAGGGGUUUCGAUACCCUUGGUGCCGAAGUAAACACAAUAAGCACUCCGCCUGGGGAGUACGCUCGCAAGAGUGAAACUCAAAGGAAUUGACGG